UACGGAGGGUGCAAGCGUUGCUCGGAAUUAUUGGGCGUAAAGGGUGCGUAGGUGGAUAAGUAAGUCGUAUGUGAAAGCCCCGGGCUUAACCUGGGAAUUGCAUAGGAUACUGUUUGUCUGGAGUGGAGUAGAGGAUAGCGGAAUUUCCGGUGUAGCGGUGAAAUGCGUAGAUAUCGGAAAGAACACCAGUGGCGAAGGCGGCUAUCUGGGCUCACACUGACACUGAGGCACGAAAGCGUGGGGAGCGAACAGG
rnacentral:rRNA from 1 species